rnacentral:rRNA from 1 species
AUUGAACGCUGGCGGCAGGCCUAACACAUGCAAGUCGAGCGGAUGAAGGGAGCUUGCUCCUGGAUUCAGCGGCGGACGGGUGAGUAUGCCUAGGAAUCUGCCUGGUAGUGGGGAUAACGUCCGGAAACGGGCGCUAAUACCGCAUACGUCCUGAGGGAGAAAGUGGGGGAUCUUCGGACCUCACGCUAUCAGAUGAGCUUAGGUCGGAUUAGCUAGUUGGUGGGGUAAAGGCCUACCAAGGCGACGAUCCGUAACUGGUCUGAGAGGAUGAUCAGUCACACUGGAACUGGGACACGGUCCAGACUCCUACGGGAGGCAGCAGUGGGGAAUAUUGGACAAUGGGCGAAAGCCUGAUCCAGCCAUGCCGCGUGUGUGAAGAAGGUCUUCGGAUUGUAAAGCACUUUAAGUGGGGAGGAAGGGCAGUAAGUUAAUACCUUGCUGUUUUGACGUUACCAACAGAAUAAGCACCGGCUAACUUCGUG